rnacentral:rRNA from 2 species
AUACCGGCAGUCCAAGUGAUGGCCGCUAUUAUUGGGCCUAAAGCGUCCGUAGCCAGCCAGACAGGUCCGUCGGGAAAUCCACUCGCUCAACGAGUGGGCGUCCGACGGAAACCAGCUGGCUUGGGGCCGGAAGACCUGAGGGGUACGUCCGGGGUAGGAGUGAAAUCCUGUAAUCUUGGACGGACCACCGGUGGCGAAAGCGCCUCAGGAAGACGGACCCGACGGUGAGGGACGAAAGCUAGGGUCACGAACCGGAUUAGAUACCCGGGUAGUCCUAGCUGUAAACGAUGCUCGCUAAGUAUGGCACACACUACGAGUGUGUGCUGUGCUGUAGUGAAGACGAGAAGCGAGCCGCCUGGGAAGUACGUCCGCAAGGAUGAA